GGGUUGUGAGGUUAAGCGACUAAGCGUACACGGUGGAUGCCCUGGCAGUCAGAGGCGAUGAAGGACGUGCUAAUCUGCGAUAAGCGUCGGUAAGGUGAUAUGAACCGUUAUAACCGGCGAUUUCCGAAUGGGGAAACCCAGUGUGAUUCGUCACACUAUCAUUAACUGAAUCCAUAGGUUAAUGAGGCGAACCGGGGGAACUGAAACAUCUAAGUACCCCGAGGAAAAGAAAUCAACCGAGAUUCCCCCAGUAGCGGCGAGCGAACGGGGAGCAGCCCAGAGCCUGAAUCAGUGUGUGUGUUAGUGGAAGCGUCUGGAAAGGCGCGCGAUACAGGGUGACAGCCCCGUACACAAAAAUGCACAUACUGUGAGCUCGAUGAGUAGGGCGGGACACGUGGUAUCCUGUCUGAAUAUGGGGGGACCAUCCUCCAAGGCUAAAUACUCCUGACUGACCGAUAGUGAACCAGUACCGUGAGGGAAAGGCGAAAAGAACCCCGGCGAGGGGAGUGAAAAAGAACCUGAAACCGUGUACGUACAAGCAGUGGGAGCACGCUUAGGCGUGUGACUGCGUACCUUUUGUAUAAUGGGUCAGCGACUUAUAUUCUGUAGCAAGGUUAACCGAAUAGGGGAGCCGAAGGGAAACCGAGUCUUAACUGGGCGUUAAGUUGCAGGGUAUAGACCCGAAACCCGGUGAUCUAGCCAUGGGCAGGUUGAAGGUUGGGUAACACUAACUGGAGGACCGAACCGACUAAUGUUGAAAAAUUAGCGGAUGACUUGUGGCUGGGGGUGAAAGGCCAAUCAAACCGGGAGAUAGCUGGUUCUCCCCGAAAGCUAUUUAGGUAGCGCCUCGUGAAUUCAUCUCCGGGGGUAGAGCACUGUUUCGGCAAGGGGGUCAUCCCGACUUACCAACCCGAUGCAAACUGCGAAUACCGGAGAAUGUUAUCACGGGAGACACACGGCGGGUGCUAACGUCCGUCGUGAAGAGGGAAACAACCCAGACCGCCAGCUAAGGUCCCAAAGUCAUGGUUAAGUGGGAAACGAUGUGGGAAGGCCCAGACAGCCAGGAUGUUGGCUUAGAAGCAGCCAUCAUUUAAAGAAAGCGUAAUAGCUCACUGGUCGAGUCGGCCUGCGCGGAAGAUGUAACGGGGCUAAACCAUGCACCGAAGCUGCGGCAGCGACGCUGAUGCGUUGUUGGGUAGGGGAGCGUUCUGUAAGCCUGUGAAGGUGUGCUGUGAGGCAUGCUGGAGGUAUCAGAAGUGCGAAUGCUGACAUAAGUAACGAUAAAGCGGGUGAAAAGCCCGCUCGCCGGAAGACCAAGGGUUCCUGUCCAACGUUAAUCGGGGCAGGGUGAGUCGACCCCUAAGGCGAGGCCGAAAGGCGUAGUCGAUGGGAAACAGGUUAAUAUUCCUGUACUUGGUGUUACUGCGAAGGGGGGACGGAGAAGGCUAUGUUGGCCGGGCGACGGUUGUCCCGGUUUAAGCGUGUAGGCUGGUUUUCCAGGCAAAUCCGGAAAAUCAAGGCUGAGGCGUGAUGACGAGGCACUACGGUGCUGAAGCAACAAAUGCCCUGCUUCCAGGAAAAGCCUCUAAGCAUCAGGUAACAUCAAAUCGUACCCCAAACCGACACAGGUGGUCAGGUAGAGAAUACCAAGGCGCUUGAGAGAACUCGGGUGAAGGAACUAGGCAAAAUGGUGCCGUAACUUCGGGAGAAGGCACGCUGAUAUGUAGGUGAAGUCCCUCGCGGAUGGAGCUGAAAUCAGUCGAAGAUACCAGCUGGCUGCAACUGUUUAUUAAAAACACAGCACUGUGCAAACACGAAAGUGGACGUAUACGGUGUGACGCCUGCCCGGUGCCGGAAGGUUAAUUGAUGGGGUCAGCGCAAGCGAAGCUCUUGAUCGAAGCCCCGGUAAACGGCGGCCGUAACUAUAACGGUCCUAAGGUAGCGAAAUUCCUUGUCGGGUAAGUUCCGACCUGCACGAAUGGCGUAAUGAUGGCCAGGCUGUCUCCACCCGAGACUCAGUGAAAUUGAACUCGCUGUGAAGAUGCAGUGUACCCGCGGCAAGACGGAAAGACCCCGUGAACCUUUACUAUAGCUUGACACUGAACAUUGAGCCUUGAUGUGUAGGAUAGGUGGGAGGCUUUGAAGUGUGGACGCCAGUCUGCAUGGAGCCGGCCUUGAAAUACCACCCUUUAAUGUUUGAUGUUCUAACGUUGACCCGUUAUCCGGGUUGCGGACAGUGUCUGGUGGGUAGUUUGACUGGGGCGGUCUCCUCCUAAAGAGUAACGGAGGAGCACGAAGGUUGGCUAAUCCUGGUCGGACAUCAGGAGGUUAGUGCAAUGGCAUAAGCCAGCUUGACUGCGAGCGUGACGGCGCGAGCAGGUGCGAAAGCAGGUCAUAGUGAUCCGGUGGUUCUGAAUGGAAGGGCCAUCGCUCAACGGAUAAAAGGUACUCCGGGGAUAACAGGCUGAUACCGCCCAAGAGUUCAUAUCGACGGCGGUGUUUGGCACCUCGAUGUCGGCUCAUCACAUCCUGGGGCUGAAGUAGGUCCCAAGGGUAUGGCUGUUCGCCAUUUAAAGUGGUACGCGAGCUGGGUUUAGAACGUCGUGAGACAGUUCGGUCCCUAUCUGCCGUGGGCGCUGGAGAACUGAGGGGGGCUGCUCCUAGUACGAGAGGACCGGAGUGGACGCAUCACUGGUGUUCGGGUUGUCAUGCCAAUGGCACUGCCCGGUAGCUAAAUGCGGAAGAGAUAAGUGCUGAAAGCAUCUAAGCACGAAACUUGCCCCGAGAUGAGUUCUCCCUGACUCCUUGAGAGUCCUGAAGGAACGUUGAAGACGACGACGUUGAUAGGCCGGGUGUGUAAGCGCAGCGAUGCGUUGAGCUAACCGGUACUAAUGAACCGUGAGG
rnacentral:rRNA from 1 species